UCGAUCAUCAGAAGCUGACCGAGGACAACGCCUACCUACGGGCUCAGGUUGAGUCUCUCGAGGGAAAGGUCCGUCCUCUGGCGGAUGAGACCGAGGAGGAACGCGCCCUUGGUUCGCGCGGUGAGCUGCUAGGGCAUAUUCGGACUCUCAACCAAGAUCUCGUGGCCUGCUUCAAAGAGGGUUUCGACAAUGCUGUCGAGCAGCUCGGGCUUCUGAACCCUGAGUUGGUGACAGAAGGGUCGGCCUAUAACUG
rnacentral:lncRNA from 1 species